ACACUCAUGUUUCUUUUCAUAUCGUAUAAAUCUUUCGCCUUUUACUAAAGAUUUACGUGGAGAGGAACACUAUGAGUAUAAACUAAUUUUUUAAUGUCCUACUUAACGGUCGGGCU